GACGAACGCUGGCGGCGUGCCUAAUACAUGCAAGUCGAGCGAAGUUUUUCUGGUGCUUGCACCGGAAAAACUUAGCGGCGAACGGGUGAGUAACACGUAAAGAACCUGCCUCAUAGACUGGGACAACUAUUGGAAACGAUAGCUAAUACCGGAUAACAGCAUUAACUGCAUGGUUGAUGUUUAAAAGUUGGUUUUGCUAACACUAUGAGAUGGCUUUGCGGUGCAUUAGCUAGUUGGUGGGGUAAAGGCCUACCAAGGCGACGAUGCAUAGCCGACCUGAGAGGGUGAUCGGCCACACUGGGACUGAGACACGGCCCAGACUCCUACGGGAGGCAGCAGUAGGGAAUCUUCCGCAAUGGGCGAAAGCCUGACGGAGCAACGCCGCGUGAGUGAAGAAGGAUUUCGGUUCGUAAAGCUCUGUUGUUAGGGAAGAAUGAUUGUGUAGUAACUAUACACAGUAGAGACGGUACCC
rnacentral:rRNA from 1 species